AAGCUUGCACGAUCACCUCUCAACCAGCACAAUGAGUUGAGGUAUUGUAAAAGCUUAC
rnacentral:pre_miRNA from 1 species